UCCAGUAUUCCUGAUACAGGCCUGGGAGUGUUUAAUAAGGGGGAGACUGUUCCAGUAGGUGCACACUUUGGACCCUGCCAGGUAGAGCUGGUAAACAGAGAGGAAGCCAGGAACAGUGGAGACUCCUCGGUUGUAUACAGGAGCAUGCAGUGUGAAGAAUACAUCGAUGCCAAAAGAGAGAUGCAUGUGAAUUGGAUGAGGUAUGUGAAUUGUGCCCGCAAUGAAGAAGAACAGAAUCUUGUGGCAUUUCGGUAUCGAGGGGGAAUUCUGUAUCGUUGCUGUCGACCCAUUAACCCAGGACAGGAGCUCUUUGUGUGGUAU